GGAAGAGUCAUAGCUCAGCAGUAGAGCAUAUGCUUUACAUGCAGAAGGUAUCAGGUUCAAUUCCUGGCCUCUCCA